rnacentral:lncRNA from 1 species
AUGACCCCGCCCCUCAGCCCCCGCCCCUGUUCUCCACCGCCCAUCCCUGGGGCCCCUCCCCUCGCCCACCUGCCCAGUCCGGCGCGCGAGCACCGCUCUGGGAUGUCGCACGGGUUAUGCUGGCUCUUUCUCCCGGCCUCUUCUGGCCUGAAGAUGUGAGAAAAGUCGGGAGCCUUCCAGCAGACCCAAGGAAAGGCUCAGUCUUGAACGACCGACGCCAGCAGCCUGGUGUGCAGGAGAGGGUUCCUGGGCCCACUGCUGAGCCAUCAAACCUCUGGGCCAUGGAGGCAGGGCUCCAAGUCAAAGACCAUCUGCUUUAAGACCCAGGCUACUGCCUAGAAGCCGUGUGCGUUUGUCACCUUCCUUGACCUCGUCAACCUGGGGUUUAAGCAGGAGCACACGGGACACAGAACUGCUGUGGACGGAGGCGGAGGACAGAGGCGGAGGACGCAGGCGGAGGACGGAGGCGGUGGACCGAGGCUGUGGACGGAGGCGGUGGACGGAGGCGGUGGACGGAGGCGGAGGACGGAGGCGGAGGACGGAGGCGGAGGACGGAGGCGUGGACGGAGGCGGAGGACGGAGGCGUGGACGGAGGCGGUGGACCGAGGCGGAGGACGGAGGCGGAGGACGGAGGCGUGGACGGAGGCGGAGGACGGAGGCGUGGACGGAGGCGGAGGACGGAGGCGGAGGACGGAGGCGUGGACGGAGGCGGUGGACGGAGGCGGAGGACGGAGGCGGAGGACGGAGGCGGAGGACGGAGGCGUGGACGGAGGCGGAGGACGGAGGCGGUGGACGGAGGCGGUGGACGGAGGCGGUGGACCGAGGCGGAGGACGGAGGCGGAGGACGGAGGCGGUGGACGGAGGCGGUGGACGGAGGCGGAGGACCGAGGCGUGGCCGGAGGCGGAGGACGGAGGCUGUGCAUGGAGGCGGAGGCGGGAGCCAGGUUGUCCUGUCGCUUUGUGUGCGGUAGUGACGGUGGCCUCUGCCACCAGACUGCGCCCUCCAGGGUGGCUGGUGCAAACCAGGGUGGGCUCCAGGUGCAGAGUCCAUGCCUCGGCGCCAAGAAGCGAACUGGCUCAGUGGCAGCCUUACUUGUUGAAAUGAAAAUACGUUGGACAUACUGGGUUAAAUAAAAUACACUAUUCAAAUUUAUUUCA